UUGCCCCAUACCAUUCUACAGCAUAAGAGAGGUAGUGACAAGAAAUAACAAUACAAGGCAGUUAAAAUGCUUUGUAAUUGGAAUGAUAGAAAUUUAAACACUUUUUAAAGUAUCAAUUGGAGGGCAAGUCUGGUGCCAGCAGCCGCGGUAAUUCCAGCUCCAAUAGCGUAUAUUAAAAUUGUUGCAGUUAAAAAGCUCGUAGUUGAAUUUCUGCUAAAAAUAACCGGUCUGCUUUUAAUAAAGGUGGUAUCUUGGUGUGUUUUUAGCAAUAAUGUCCUUUGAAAUGUUUUUUACUUCAUUGUAAUAAAUUAUAUUUAGGAUUUUUACUUUGAGAAAAUUAGAGUGUUUCUAGCAGGCUAAUGCUUUGAAUACUGCAGCAUGGAAUAAUAAAAUAGGAUUUUGGUUCUACAUUAUUGGUUUUAAAAGCUAAAUUAAUGAUUGAUAGGGACAGUUGGGGCAAAUUUGUAUAAA
rnacentral:rRNA from 1 species